rnacentral:rRNA from 1 species
UACGGCAGGCAGCAGGGGGGAAUUUUGUGCAAUGGGGGAAACCCUGACACAGCGACACCGCGUGGACGAAGAAGCCCUUUGGGGUGUAAAAUCCUGUCGGCUGGAACGAAACAAAUGACGGUACCAGCAGAGGAAGCAUCGGCUAACUACGUGCCAGCAGCCGCGGUAAGACGUAGGAUGCAAGCGUUGUCCGGAUUUAUUGGGCGUAAAGAGUUCGUAGGCGGUUUGUUAAGUCUGAUGUUAAAGAUCGGGGCCCAACCCUGGGAGUGCAUUGGAUACUGGCAGACUGGAGUGUGGUAGAGGUUAGUGGAAUUCCCAGUGUAGCGGUGAAAUGCGUAGAUAUUGGGAAGAACACCAGUGGCGUAGGCGACUAACUGGGCCAUAACUGACGCUGAGGAACGAAAGCCAGGGGAGCGAAUGGGAUUAGAUACCCCAGUAGUCCUGGCCGUAAACGAUGGAUACUAGGCGUAGUGGGUAUCGACCCCUACUGUGCCGUAGCUAACGCGAUAAGUAUCCCGCCUGAGUAGUACGGCCGCAAGGUUGAAACUCAAAGGAAUUGACGG